UUUGACAUAUAGGGAAAUCCUCCAGAGAUGGGGGGUCCGUAAGGGUCCUAUACAGGUGGUGCAUGGCUGUCGUCAGCUCGUGUCGUGAGAUGUUGGAUUAAGUCCCGCAACGAGCGCAACCCUCGUCCUAUGUUGCCAGCACGCCCUUCGGGGUGGUGGGGACUCAUAGGAGACUGCCGGGGUCAACUCGGAGGAAGGUGGGGAUGACGUCAAGUCAUCAUGCCCCUUAUGUCCAGGGCUUCACGCAUGCUACAAUGGCCGGUACAAAGGGCUGCGAAACUGUAAGGUGGAGCGAAUCCCAAAAAGCCGGUCUCAGUUCGGAUUGGGGUCUGCAACUCGACCCCAUGAAGUCGGAGUCGCUAGUAAUCGCAGAUCAGCAACGCUGCGGUGAAUACGUUCCCGGGCCUUGUACACACCGCCCGUCACGUCAUGAAAGUCGGCAACACCCGAAGCCGGUGGCCU
rnacentral:rRNA from 1 species